rnacentral:rRNA from 1 species
UACGAAGGGGGCUAGCGUUGUUCGGAAUCACUGGGCGUAAAGGGCGCGUAGGCGGCCGAUCAAGUCGGGGGUGAAAGCCUGUGGCUUAACCACAGAAUGGCCUUCGAUACUGUUUGGCUUGAGACCGGAAGAGGUUAGUGGAACUGCGAGUGUAGAGGUGAAAUGCGUAGAGAUCCGGAGGAACACCAAAGGCGAAGGCAGUGUCCUGGGGAGUACCUGACGCUCAGGUGCGAAAGCCAGGGGAGCGAACGGG